rnacentral:rRNA from 1 species
UAAGGAAUAUUGGUCAAUGGACGAAAGUCUGAACCAGCCAUGCCGCGUGAAGGAUUAAGGUCCUCUGGAUUGUAAACUUCUUUUAUCUGGGACGAAAAAAGGCUAUUCUUAGUCACUUGACGGUACCAGAUGAAUAAGCACCGGCUAACUCCGUGCCAGCAGCCGCGGUAAUACGGAGGGUGCAAGCGUUAUCCGGAUUCACUGGGUUUAAAGGGUGCGUAGGCGGGCAGGUAAGUCAGUGGUGAAAUCCUAGAGCUUAACUCUAGAACUGCCAUUGAUACUAUCUGUCUUGAAUAUUGUGGAGGUAAGCGGAAUAUGUCAUGUAGCGGUGAAAUGCUUAGAUAUGACAUAGAACACCUAUUGCGAAGGCAGCUUACUACGCAUAUAUUGACGCUGAGGCACGAAAGCGUGGGGAUCAAACA